AGCAAUUGACAUUAGCGACAGAAGAAGCACCGGCUAACUCCGUGCCAGCAGCCGCGGUAAUACGGAGGGUGCGAGCGUUAAUCGGAAUUACUGGGCGUAAAGGGCACGCAGGCGGUUAAUUAAGUUGGAUGUGAAAUCCCCGGGCUUAACCUGGGAAUGGCAUUCAAGACUGGUUAGCUAGAGUCUUGUAGAGGGGGGCAGAAUUCCAUGUGUAGCGGUGAAAUGCGUAGAGAUGUGGAGGAAUACCGGUGGCGAAGGCGGCCCCCUGGACAAAGACUGACGCUCAUGUGCGAAAGCGUGGCGAGCAAACAGGAUUAGAUACCCUGGUAGUCCACGCUGUAAACGAUGUCGAUUUGGAGGUUGUGGUCAUGAACUGUGGCCUCCGGAGCUAACGCGUUAAAUCGACCGCCUGGGGAGUACGGCCGCAAGGUUAAAACUCAAAUGAAUUGACGGGGGCCCGCACAAGCGGUGGAGCAUGUGGUUUAAUUCGAUGCAACGCGAAGAACCUUACCUACUCUUGACAUCCAGCGAAUCCUUUAGAGAUAGAGGAGUGCCUUCGGGAGCGCUGAGACAGGUGCUGCAUGGCUGUCGUCAGCUCGUGUUGUGAAAUGUUGGGUUAAGUCCCGCAACGAGCGCAACCCUUAUCCUUUGUUGCCAGCGAGUCGGGAACUCAAAGGAGACUGCCGGUGAUAAACCGGAGGAAGGUGGGGAUGACGUCAAGUCAUCAUGGCCCUUACGAGUAGGGCUACACACGUGCUACAAUGGCGUAUACAGAGAGAGGCGAGCCAGCGAUGGGGAGCGGAACUCAGAAAGUACGUCGAAGUCCGGAUUGGAGUCUGCAACUCGACUCCAUGAAGUCGGAAUCGCUAGUAAUCGCGGAUCAGCAUGUCGCGGUGAAUACGUUCCCGGGCCUUGUACACACCGCCCGUCACACCAUGGGAGUGGGUUGCAAAAGAAGUAGGUAGCUUAACCUUUUGGAUGGCGCUUACCACUUUGUGGUUCAUGACUGGGGUGAAGUCGUAACAAGGUAACCGUAGGGGAACCUGCGGUUGGAUCACCUCCUUA
rnacentral:rRNA from 1 species